rnacentral:rRNA from 1 species
AGUGAACGCUGGCGGUAGGCCUAACACAUGCAAGUCGAACGGCAGCACAGUAAGAGCUUGCCCUUACGGGUGGCGAGGGGCGUACGGGGGAGGUAUACAUCGGACUUUACUUUUUCGUGGGGGAUAACGUAGGGAAACUUACGCUAAUACCGCAUACGACCUACGGGUGAAAGCAGGGGAUCUUCGGACUUCGGGCGAGUGAAUCAGCCGAUGUCGUAUUUGCUAGUUGGCGGGGUAAAGGCGCACUGAGGCGACGAUCCGUAGCUGGUCUGAGAGGAUGAUGAGCCACACUGGGGCUGAGACACGGUCCAGACUCCUAGGGGAGGCAGCAGUGGGGAAUAUUGGACGAUGGGCGCAAGCCUGAUCCAGCCAUGCCGCGUGGGUGAAGAAGGCCUUCGGGUUGUAUAACCCUUUUGUGGGUGUAGAACGGCUGCAAGUUAAUACCCCGCUGUUCUGACGGUACCCGAAGAAUAAGCACCGGCUAACUACGUG